ACCAGGGUUGCAUCUGAGGUACUGCCAGAUCAACAACAAAAAGGCCAAGACAUGAUGAUGAUUUGCUUGCAACACUGAAAGCGGGGAUACUUCAGUUUGCAAGGCAUACCAUGCAGGAAAUCAGCGAAAGAUUUAUUGAUCUUCCGAAUGAUGGCAGCACAACUGUGUUUGGAGAAAGGACUGCUGGACUACCAGGACAGAAAUAUGUCCACAUGCCUGGUUUUCAGACAGACCCAUGGAUCAGGGGUGUUGUCCCGUGCCCACCUCAGCCUUAUGUUUCUCAACUACUAGAAGAGUUCUUUGCUACUGCACCGCCAGAAGUUCUUUCCAGGUGUUUAUAUGAAUCUUUACUCGCUCAGAUAUUCUUUUUGUUGAUUCUGUAUGUGGCUGAAUAAAAUUUUCCCAUUCACACUUAUUUCAUGCCCUGGAACUUCCUUGUGCAUGAGAACCCAAGGUUUAUACGGAUCACUGGGCUAGCACUCAAACAACAAUUGGUUGGAGACGUGUUAAUUGAUCACAAGCUCAUGUCAGUCAUCAUCAGAAGAUAUUGCCAGGCUGAUCAGGAAGCCGAUAAACAUUCCCCAUACCGGACAUGGAGGCACCCUCUGGAGCCAGAAUUUUCAAGUCUGGUUUUAUCUGAACAAGUUUACUUGCAUACGAUGUCCAUACAGAAGGCACUAGGCGCCAUGGUACUGCAGUAUGACAUCACAUCCGCUUAGCUGUUCUUCACGCCGGUUCCACGACCUGAGGGAUGGAUUGUGAUAUUCUAGGACAUGGUUGCCCGCGUCAUAUAUGUCAUUGAUCCCAUGUAUAGCAAGAACAGCCAACCACUCAUAACUGAGACAAGAGACGAGAUCAUUGCUUGGAAGCUACAUGAUGCGUUGCUCAAUUGUUUUGCUGAGUACUAUGCUGGUUGGCCAGUCAAGAAAGAUGCAUGGAAGCUGAAGUUCCUUGCCCUUGCGGAUAGCAUUUUUAAUCAGUACAUCAGUUAUGAACUAUGUCUCGAAUUACAGUAAGCCAUUCUUUGGUUCUAAGCAUUUUUUAUUCCUUCAGAAAUGAAAGUGGAGCGUGCG